CCUUGAGGUGUGCGGACGUGUGUCUUACGAGACGUCUCCCUACGAAUAGACAAACAGACACGGGCAGACACGCGCUUAACGUCUGUCUGUCUGUCUGUCUCUCUUUGUGUCUUCCUCUUCGCCACAGACAGACAGAGAUUUCAGACAAAGUAAUCGACCCAUAAUAACGAUCUGAGGUGAAGAUGGUAUGAUUUUUAAGCGUUUCCCUUAUAUCUCUCUCCGUACUGGCUUAUCACGGUUGACCUAUGACCCCUAGGUGACCCCGGGGUUGAGCUUGAGACUCGUCACACCAAUGGCGGUCAUAAAGAACAACAGGGAAAAAGUUGAUGGAGCUAAUUGUUGUUUUUGUAGUUCAGGGAUGGAUUUUCAACCCUCUCCGCCGUAGACUCGACCAUCGACCUACCUGCCUUAGCUAUACCAAGUGAUGGAUGAGCGAGAAUAUGUGAGAAACCCAGAUAAAUUUUACUCUACAACUCUUCCACUCGUUACCAGAAGCUAUCAAAAUACAUCAUCACAUUAAGCCACGACCACCACACUGUCUCCUUCCAACAGCAAGGAGUUUACAGGUUCAUUGUUUUGUAAGUGAACGAGUGAUUUUGUGAGGAAAUACCAAAAUUUAAGACCCUUUAAUGUAAAAUAAUUUGUAUAAAAACAUCUCGCAGAAAAUGGGAACGUAUGUGAUAAUAAUUAGAAAUUAAACUUAAAAUCACAAAAAAAAAUAGCAACUGACUUCCCGAACACCAAAUUUUAGACCUGAAAAAUAAAAUCAGCCAACAACUUUCUAAAAAUCAUGUCAGUAAAUCGUAAAUCACCCGAAGAAAAUGUUAAUAAAUUAUUAAAAACAAACGCACACGCCUGAAAAAAAAAAAAGCUAGUGAAUAUUCCGACCGCACGCUCCUGUGUUUGUGUUGAACUGUGAGGAGAUAUACAGUGUGUUGUGAACAUUAGACAAACUAUGUAAUUCCAAAAACGACCUGUAAGCCUACGUUGACCUACUAGAGGAAUAAAUAUAGCGACACUGCGAAUAUACCAAAACGAACUAGUAAUUAGUGUCAUACUGUAAAGAUAUACGCAAAAAUAUACAGUCCAGUGAAAAUACCACGAAUCUAUAAACCCGUGUUAUACUGUGAGGAUACAAGCAAUUUACAGUGAAUAUACCAAAACACAGCCCCUUAAGACAGUGUUGACCUUCAGGAGGGAGUUAUAAAGUUAGAGGAACAUGUCAGGCCACACAUCAACGGGUAGAGGGGUGAGGAGCUUCUUGGCUCUACUACCCUACCUGGCGUUAAUUACUUUCACCCACACACCUGUAUCUGCACUCCCAGCCAUACUGAAGCAGUCACAUGGGCGCGGU
rnacentral:lncRNA from 1 species